UCACUGGUAGCCAAACGGAUAAGGCACUGGAAGUUGAGCAGAAUCAACGGACAUGUGAACGCAAUAAAAGCGUCAAGGUCGAGGACAUCAGAGAUUGUGGGUUCAAAUCCCACCCAGUGAUA
rnacentral:tRNA from 1 species